CUGAGAAAUUAUCUUAAAUGGAGAGAGUAUAACCUUCUUGUUUCUUACCUCUUUUCUUCUGGUGCAAUGUGGAUGAAAUGCUCAAAUGCCACCAGCCAACAUGGACCAUAAAUUAAAUUUGGAAUGGAAGCCACACAUGACAUGGGAACAAGAUGGAAAACUUUAGGUUAUCAUUGGGAUUUCCUGGCUUUUCCAAUCAACCUAUGGCCUCUAACAAGCUCACAAAACAGCAGGCUGAAGCUAUGUUCAUCUAAAAGCAAAACAUUUGGUCAAUUAAACCAAUUUAAUAAAAAAACUGAAUUUAUUGGAAGGACAGCAAUUUUCUUCUUGAAUAGUUAGUUUGGCAUCAUGUGGGCAAAGCAUU
rnacentral:lncRNA from 10 species